AUUCAAUAUUGGUUGAAUAAUAUACAUUAGACAUUUUAGGUCAUAGGCCUGGAGUUCAAUAAAGAAACCUGGAAACAGAGUUGACCCUUGAAUACCAUAGGUUUGAAUUAUGUGUGUCUACUUAUCUGGAAACUUUCUGCUGCCUCUGAGACAAUUGUGACAGUAAGACCAACCUUUUUCUUUCUCUUCCUCUUCAGGCUACUUAACAUGAAAAGCACAUGGAUGAAGACCUUUAUGUUGAUACGUUUCCACUUAAUGAAUAAAUCAGAGGGUACGUGUGCACAAUUGAGACGGAGGAAUAUUGUGUUUUGCUGAUGUUUGAAGUAUGACUGAACACGUCACCCUGGUAUUGAACACAGUACUCCGUAGAUCCAAAGAGAAAAAUUUAUGCCAUGCCAUGAAAGGCCACACAGAGAAGCACUGGGUUCAACCAGAAGGAGGAGGUAGCAGUAGAAAUUGUGGGCAGGAGCCUUUAUUUUGGUUGCCAAGGAAGGAACCUGCAAGCGAAGGUAAACAGCUCAACAUACUAAUGUGAGUAAUUUCAGCUGGCUCUGGGGUGUGGGGGCUGCCUUUACUUCUCUGGCACCUGGAUCUGAGGUGAUUAAGGAAGGCAGGUCGUGGUCUAGAAUGUCAAAGCAUGAUAAAGGAGGUGAUUGAUU
rnacentral:lncRNA from 1 species